rnacentral:rRNA from 1 species
GACGAACGCUGGCGGCGUGCCUAAUACAUGCAAGUCGAGCGGAUGACGGAGGAGCUUGCUCCUCCUGAUUCAGCGGCGGACGGGUGAGUAACACGUGGGCAGCCUGCCCUGUAGAUUGGGAUAACUCCGGGAAACCGGGGCUAAUACCGAAUAAUCCUUCGGACCUCAUGGUCCGAUGUUGAAAGACGGCUUCGGCUGCCACUACAGGAUUGGCCCGCGGCGCAUUAGCUAGUUGGUGAGGUAACGGCUCACCAAGGCGACGAUGCGUAGCCGACCUGAGAGGGUGAUCGGCCACACUGGGACUGAGACACGGCCCAGACUCCUACGGGAGGCAGCAGUAGGGAAUCUUCCACAAUGGACGAAAGUCUGAUGGAGCAACGCCGCGUGAGUGAAGAAGGUUCUCGGAUCGUAAAACUCUGUUGUGAGGGAAGAACAAGUACCGGAGUAACUGCCGGUACCUUGACGGUACCUCAUUAGAAAGCCACGGCUAACUACGUGCCAGCCGCCGCGGUAA